rnacentral:misc_RNA from 1 species
UUUCCGUAGGUGAACUUGCGGAAGGAUCAUUACAGAGUUCAUGCCCUCACGGGUAGAUCUCCCACCCUUGAAUAUUUAUACCUUAGUUGCUUUGGCAGGCCGUGGAAACACCAUGGGCUCCGGCUUAUGCGUGCCUGCCAGAGGAAACAAACUCUGUUUUUAGUGAUGUCUGAGUACUAUAUAAUAGUUAAAACUUUCAACAACGGAUCUCUUGGUUCUG